rnacentral:rRNA from 1 species
AUUGAACGCUGGCGGUAUGUUUUACACAUGCAAGUCGAACGGUAACAGGCCUUCGGGCGCUGACGAGUGGCGAACGGGUGAGUAAUGCAUCGGAACGUGCCCAGUCGUGGGGGAUAACGCAGCGAAAGCUGUGCUAAUACCGCAUACGCUCUAUGGAUGAAAGCGGGGGACCGUAAGGCCUCGCGCGAUUGGAGCGGCCGAUGUCAGAUUAGGUAGUUGGUGGGGUAAAGGCUCACCAAGCCAACGAUCUGUAGCUGGUCUGAGAGGACGACCAGCCACACUGGAACUGAGACACGGUCCAGACUCCUACGGGAGGCAGCAGUGGGGAAUUUUGGACAAUGGGCGCAAGCCUGAUCCAGCAAUGCCGCGUGUAGGAAGAAGGCCUUCGGGUUGUAAACUGCUUUUGUACGGAACGAAACGGCGAGCUCUAAUACAGUUUGCUAAUGACGGUACCGUAAGAAUAAGCACCGGCUAACUACGUGCCAGCCGCCGCAGUAAAAC